rnacentral:misc_RNA from 1 species
GGAAGGAUCAUUAACACGUAUCCACGUUAUCAACCAAUUGCGAACUUGUUUUCACGUCUCCCUUUGCUAUUUGAAUGAAUUGGAACCAGUUUGAGGGAAUGAUGUGGGUUUGCAUUUACUUGCGAAUCGGCCUUCCUGGUACACUGAUGACUGCGAAAGCUUUGUUCAUCGACAAUUGAAUCGAUAUAGCUCAAAGGCAAAAUUUCUUUCGAUUAUUUUGAUCGCACAUCUGAUCUCUAUAAGUAGUCGAAGGAGAAACAACACUUAAACUAUUAUCACCACCUUUUUGCUAGUUGACUUUUUAUAUGUUAUUUGUUUUGCUCUUUUGCAAUGCAGGUGGCACGUUUAAUUACUUGAACGUUAAAAAAUACAACUCUUAGCAAUGGAUAUCUUGGUUCUCGCAACGAUGAAGAACGCAGCGAAAUGCGAUACGUAAUGCGAAUUGCAGAAUUCAGUGAAUCAUCAAAUCUUUGAACGCAAAUUGCGCUCUUGGGUAGCCCUAGGAGCACGCCUCUCUCAGUAUCGGUUCAACAAUCUCUCAGCAGCGUGAUUGGAUAGUUGGGAUUGUCUUCAUUGACUUUCCUUUGAUCUUUCGAUCGCGUGUUGGCUGGAUAAUGAGAGUCUGAGUGCUUUGUCAUUCAGUCUCUUUAAAUACAUGGAGUAAAAACAUGACUAUUGCAAUUCAAUUUCUUUUUUUAAUUAAAAAGGAAUAGUGGAGUCUCUGACUUUUGCUAUAAUUCGAUAGUGACGUGAAUAUUGGCCUUCAUUGGUCUCCUUUUAUGUUUAACUAUUUUGAGCUUAGCAUCUAUGGGUCUAGGAUUUAACGAAACGAUUGCAGACUAUUAAGUUAGAGUAGGCGCUGUGUUUUUACGGAUAGAUAACCAUAUGGUUUCUUGUGUUGAGUUUAGUUUAAUUACAGAAUUCCUAAUAGAGACCUGAAUUUUUGAUCUGAGAUGAAGCGAGACAACCCCUGAAUUUAAGCAUAUUAAUAAGGGGAGGAAAAGAAACUAACAAGGAUUCCCCCAGUAACGGCGAGUGAAGCGGAAGAGCUCAAUUUGAAAAUCGAUUACCUAAACGGGUCAUCGAAUUGUAGCCUAGAGACGUACUAUCAGCUGAAACCUGGGUAUAAGUUCUUUGGAAUGAGGCAUCAUAGAGGGUGAGAAUCCCGUUUAUGACCCAAAGCUUUCAGCGUACGAUGUAUGUUCAUCGAGUCGAGUUGUUUGGGAUUGCAGCUCUAAAUGGGUGGUAAGUUUCAUCUAAAGCUAAAUAAUGGCGAGAGACCGAUAGCGAACAAGUACCGUGAGGGAAAGAUGAAAAGAACUUUGAAAAGAGAGUUAAAAGUACUUGAAAUUGCUAAGAGGGAAGCGCUAAAAACCAGUGAUACGCUAGGUCAAUCGUCCUUUGGCUUCUCGUAGAUAGUGUUGGGCAAUGGGCAACCUUGUUCGGCGCUAUCGAAAGGAUGGUUGGGGAUUUAUGAUCUAGUGUCAGUCAAGAUCAAUUCGGAUUGUGGGAGAAGGUAGCGAGAAAGGUAGGAGAGAGCAAUCUCUCUGUUAUAUUCUUGUUACUCUACCUCGGCCUGGAUUGAGGAAGUAAUGGUGCGCCGCUUGCGGCUUGAUCCUGCGUUUCUGUUGUCCUACUUGCUCCGAUAGCAAUGCUAUCUCUGUGAGGAAAGGCAAUACUGAGCGUGGUGAUUCUAUGUGCCAUCACGAUCUUGUACGAAAUGGUUUUAUCGACCCGUCUUGAAACACGGACCAAGGAGUCUAACAUCUAUGCAAGUAUUUGAGUGAAAAACUCUGAUGCGCAAUGAAAGUAAAGGUGGACUUGUUCCACUGAGGUAGGAAUCCUUGUUAAAGGGGAGGCACUAUCGACCGAUCAUCACUUGUGAAAGAUUUGAGUAAGAGCAUAUCUGUUGGGACCCGAAAGAUGGUGAUCUAUGCCUGAACAGGGUGAAGCCAGGGGAAACUCUGGUGGAGGCUCGUAGCGAUACUGACGUGCAAAUCGUUCGUCUGAUUUGGGUAUAGGGGCGAAAGACUAAUCGAACCAUCUAGUAGCUGGUUCCCUC